rnacentral:rRNA from 1 species
AUGCAUGUCUAAGUACAUACUUUUACAUAGUGAAACCGCGAAUGGCUCAUUAAAUCAGUUAUGGUUCCUUAGAUCGUACAAUCCUACUUGGAUAACUGUGGUAAUUCUAGAGCUAAUACAUGAUCCAAAGCUCCGACCCUUCGGGAAAGAGCGCGUUUAUUAGAUCAAAACCAGUCGGGUCGCAAGGCCCGUCACAUUGGUGAUGCUGGAUAACUUUGUGCUGAUCGCACGGCCUCGAGCCGGCGACGUAUCUUUCAAAUGUCUGCCCUAUCAACUUUCGAUGGUACGUGAUAUGCCUACCAUGGUUGUAACGGGUAACGGGGAAUCAGGG